rnacentral:rRNA from 1 species
ACGCUCGACACCUACGGAGGCAGCAGUGGGGAAUAUUGGGCAAUGGGCGAAAGCCUGACCCAGCAACGCCGCGUGAGGGAAGAAGGUUUUCGGAUUGUAAACCUCUGUCCUCAGGGACGAAGGACGUGACGGUACCUGAGGAGGAAGCCCCGGCUAACUACGUGCCAGCAGCCACGGUAAUCUGAGCGGGCUGGCAAGGC